GUGAGGAAUAUUGCGCAAUGGAGGCAACUCUGACGCAGCCAUGCCGCGUGCAGGAAGAAGGCGCUACGUGUUGUAAACUGCUUUUAACCGGGAAGAAACCCCAGGACGUGUCCUGGGUUGACGGUACCGGAGGAAUAAGCACCGGCUAACUUCGUGCCAGCAGCCGCGGUAAUACGAAGGGUGCAAGCGUUAUCCGGAUUCAUUGGGUUUAAAGGGUGCGUAGGCGGAGCGUUAAGUCAGUGGUGAAAUCCUGCAGCUUAACUGUAGACUUGCCAUUGAUACUGGCGCUCUUGAGUGCGCUUGAAGUGGGCGGAAUGUGCCGUGUAGCGGUGAAAUGCUUAGAUAUGAUACAGAACACCGAUAGCGAAGGCAGCUUGCUGAACCAUUAUUGACGCUGAGGCACGAAAGCGUGGGGAGCGAACAGGAUUAGAUACCCGUGUAGUCC
rnacentral:rRNA from 1 species